CGCCUCCCUGGGAAAAACAAAGCUGUCUUACAGAGCCGCAGCAGGUGCUGGGGUUAUGCCGAACUUCUCCCCUCCAUCCCACCUCCUCUCAAGCACAGACCAGCUCACGUGCAGCUUGAUCGCUCGUCGCUAUUCUCCCACCCCUUCCCUUCCCUGCCCGCUUUUUGCUUUUGUGGUGUCAGUUGGCAUUAAUCUAAGCAGGAAACUUGCAGAGAUUCAAAAUGCCUAUUCAGAAAGCGUGAAGGAUAUACUCAUCUGAUCCCUUUUUUAUUAUAGCAAUAGUUUGUUCUCUUUUUGUUUCAAUCACAGUUGCUAGCAUGUCACUUUUCUCGAAGGAAACCAAGAGAAAUGUAUAAAUCCUACUCAAACUCAUCAGUUUUUGACAACCCAGAGGAUUGUCUGAAAUGCCAUUUUAAAGGCUGAAAGUCUAUUGCAAAAAAUACUCCAACAAAACAGCUGUUUUUAAAUCUUUAGCUUCAUUAGUAUACUACAGGGAAUUAAGGCAUUUAAUUAAACUAGUUGUACAGGUAGAUCAGCCCCACUUCUAAGAGGCUAAAGCAGCUUAUUUAAAAUGCAGACUUUCAGUCUCCAACAGAGAGCUUCCCACCCAAAGAAAAUCUGGUGUGUGUGGGGAGAGACACCACCACAGGAACGAGUUCUGCUUUAAAUUAUAUACCAUAAUUACUUACAAAAUUAGUGGCAGCUCUAGUUCCCAGACUAUUUUUUUCAUUUUAGGCAUUUACUUUUAAGACUAGGACAGGCUGACCAGUGUGUUGCUGCUUCUUUGCACCAUUUAGCAGUGUGCCUCUGGAAUAGAUGAUAAAGGUAAUAACAAAACUGUUUAGUGAGAUACUCACAGGUCUGAGCACUCGCAGUACCUCCUUCAGGGUGCCGUUCACGCUGUGCACAGAGCAGAGGACCAGGGUGCAGAUGACUGCGUCCACAGAACCGCUGGGCACCUCGUGCAGGUCUUCUCCUGCAGCUACCAGGAAACUCUCGUAGUGGACGUGUUGGUUCUUGUUCAUGCUUCUCAAAAGGCUUUGCUGGAAGUUGGGGUUUAUGUCAGUGCAGGUGACUUUGCAGCCUGGUGGGUAAUACUGGAAGUUAGCACCGCAGCCGGUCCCGAUCUCCAGCAGUUUCAGCUCUCCUGAGGGGCUCGCGAAGUCAGGCAGAUUACGAAAUAGCUCCUGUUUCUGCUUCUUUGUUUUGCGCUCAUGAAUUGCAGAAAUCUUCUCUAAGAAGAAAGGAAAAAAUACCUUCCUGCAGAAAGGCUCCCAUAUGCCCAGGAACGAUAGCAGGUAGAUGGGCAUGGCAAGCAGCGCCAGGCAGGCACGGAAGACGAGGAUGCUGGCCUCUGUCAUUUCCAGCGUGGGGCAGACGAUCCGUACUCGGCAAAAGUAGUUCUUCUGUGGAUUAGAGCCCUUGGAAUUCAGACCGAGCCCCACUCAUGUACUUGCCGUGUUCCUCUUGAAGAAUAUUCAGCUCCUUGGAUUGAUCUGGUAGACUUUUCUCUACAGCUGAUUUUAAAGUCCGGUCACAGGCAAGGAAGGGCAAAGCAGGACCGCAUACCAAACAGUUACCGUAGCGUCCCAGCGCUGGCGGCUGGCGGAAGAGGAGCUGCCAGUCUGUUACGCAAGCAGGGUAAACUGGGCAGUACAACUUCGUAUGUAACCACUGGCAAAAUGUCACAAGAUACCCUAAUUCCGUGUUCUGCAGUUUCAGGUUACAGUUUGUAUCUCUUAAAGCAACCGUGUGUUGUCUCCAGCGAGCUGAAGGAAAUUAACCUGAACUCUGGAUUUGCUGUCGGCGUUUCAUUAGGAGUUUGAUUAGCAUUUCAUUUCAAACACA